rnacentral:rRNA from 1 species
CACGUAGGGUGCGAGCGUUGUCCGGAAUUAUUGGGCGUAAAGAGCUCGUAGGCGGUGUGUCGCGUCGGCCGUGAAAACCUGCAGCUUAACUGUGGGCGUGCGGUCGAUACGGGCAUCACUGGAGUUCGGCAGGGGAGACUGGAAUUCCUGGUGUAGCGGUGGAAUGCGCAGAUAUCAGGAGGAACACCUAUAGCGAAGGCAGCUCGCUGGGACGACACUGACGCUGAGACGCGAAAGCGUGGGGAGCGAACAGG